GGGUUUAAUUCGAUGAUACGCGAGGAACCUUACCCGGGCUUGAAUUGCAGAGGAAGGAUUUGGAGACAAUGACGCCCUUCGGGGUCUCUGUGAAGGUGCUGCAUGGUUGUCGUCAGCUCGUGCCGUGAGGUGUCGGCUUAAGUGCCAUAACGAGCGCAACCCCUCUCCUUAGUUGCCAUCAGGUCAGGCUGGGCACUCUGGGGACACUGCCACCGUAAGGUGUGA
rnacentral:rRNA from 1 species